UACGAAGGGGGCGAGCGUUGUUCGGAUUUACUGGGCGUAAAGGGCGCGCAGGCGGCUUUGUUUGUCAGGCGUGAAAGCCCCGGGCUUAACCUGGGAACUGCGUUUGAUACGGCAGGGCUAGAGUUCGGGAGAGGAGAGUGGAAGUCCCAGUGUAGAGGUGAAAUUCGUAGAUAUUGGGAAGAACACCGGUGGCGAAGGCGGCUCUCUGGACCGUAACUGACGCUGAGGCGCGAAAGCGUGGGGAGCAAACAGG
rnacentral:rRNA from 1 species